rnacentral:rRNA from 1 species
GAUGAACGCUGGCGGCGUGCCUAAUACAUGCAAGUCGAGCGAACAGACGAGGAGCUUGCUCCUCUGACGUUAGCGGCGGACGGGUGAGUAACACGUGGAUAACCUACCUAUAAGACUGGGAUAACUUCGGGAAACCGGAGCUAAUGCCGGAUAAUAUAUUGAACCGCAUGGUUCAAUAGUGAAAGACGGUUUUGCUGUCACUUAUAGAUGGAUCCGCGCCGCAUUAGCUAGUUGGUAAGGUAACGGCUUACCAAGGCAACGAUGCGUAGCCGACCUGAGAGGGUGAUCGGCCACACGGGAACUGAGACACGGUCCAGACGCCUACGGGAGGCAGCAGUAGGGAAUCUUCCGCAAUGGGCGAAAGCCUGACGGAGCAACGCCGCGUGAGUGAUGAAGGUCUUCGGAUCGUAAAACUCUGUUAUUAGGGAAGAACAAAUGUGUAAGUAACUAUGCACGUCUUGACGGUACCUAAUCAGAAAGCCACGGCUAACUACGUG